rnacentral:rRNA from 1 species
AUGCACGCUGGCGGCGUGCCUAAUCCCUGCCAGUCGAGCGCACGGACGAGAAGCUUGCUUCUCUGAUGUUAGCGGCGGACGGGUGAGUAACACGUGGAUAACCUACCUAUAAGACUGGGAUAACUUCGGGAAACCGGAGCUAAUACCGGAUAAUAUUUUGAACCGCAUGGUUCAAAAGUGAAAGACGGUCUUGCUGUCACUUAUAGAUGGAUCCGCGCUGCAUUAGCUAGUUGGUAAGGUAACGGCUUACCAAGGCAACGAUGCAUAGCCGACCUGAGAGGGUGAUCGGCCACACUGGAACUGAGACACGGUCCAGACUCCUACGGGAGGCAGCAGUAGGGAAUCUUCCGCAAUGGGCGAAAGCCUGACGGAGCAACGCCGCGUGAGUGAUGAAGGUCUUCGGAUCGUAAAACUCUGUUAUUAGGGAAGAACAUAUGUGUAAGUAACUGUGCACAUCUUGACGGUACCUAAUCAGAAAGCCACGGCUAACUACGUG